GGGGGGGGGGGGGGGGGGGGGGGGGGGGGGCGGGGGGGGGGGGCGGGGGGGGGGCGGGCGGGGCUGGUGUGAGGGGGGGUGGGGUGGGUAACGCGUGGAGAACGGACCUUUAGGGCGGGGAUGGCCUCGGGAAUCGGGAGCCGCGAUCGGAUAAUACUUCGGCCCGCCUCGUUCUUGAGUGAUUGACGGUCUUGCCGUCACUUCUUGAUGUAUCCUCGCUGGAUCAGCUAGUUGGUAAGGUACCGGCUUACCAAGGCAACGAUGCAUAGCCGACCUAAGAGGGUGAUCGGCCACACUGGAACUGAGACACGGUCCAGACUCCUACGGGAGGCAGCAGUAGGGAAUCUUCCGCAAUGGGCGAAAGCCUGACGGAGCAACGCCGCGUGAGUGAUGAAGGUCUUCGGAUCGUAAAACUCUGUUAUUAGGGAAGAACAUAUGUGUAAGUAACUGUGCACAUCUUGACGGUACCUAAUCAGAAAGACACGGCUAACUACGUG
rnacentral:rRNA from 1 species